GGACGGGUGCGUAACACGUGGAUAAUCUGCCUUCUGGCGGGGAAUAACAGUCCGAAAGGAUUGCUAUGCCGCAUGUGUCUGUGUGGUUUCCGAACUGCGCAGAGAAAGAGGGCGCCCGCAAGGGGCUCUCACCAGAAGAUGAGUCCGCGUCCCAUCAGCUAGUUGGCGGGGUANAUGGCCCACCAAGGCAGAGACGGGUAGCUGGUCUGAGAGGGUGAUCCCCCAAACUGGUACUGAGACACGGACCAGACUCCUACGGGAGGCAGCAGUGAGGAAUAUUGGACAAUGGGUGAGAGCCUGAUCCAGCCAUCCCGGCGUGAAGGACGACUGCCCUAUGGGUUGUAACACUUCUUUUGUAUCAGGGAUAAACCUACCCUCGUGGAGGGUAGCUGACAGGUACUAUACGAACUAAGGCACACGGACUAAAUCCGAUGNCAGCAGAACGAGGUAAUACGGAGGGUGCAAGGCGUUAUACCGGAAUAUAAAUAGGAGUAUUAAAGGGGUACGGUAAGNCGGAUCUGUAAGUCAGAUGGAUGGAAAAUUCUACAACAGGAGUUCAAGANCUGGUGAAANACAAGCUUGGCCCAAUCUCGGGUAACU
rnacentral:rRNA from 1 species